rnacentral:rRNA from 1 species
UGGGGAAUUUUGGACAAUGGGCGAAAGCCUGAUCCAGCAAUGCCGCGUGUGUGAAGAAGGCCUUCGGGUUGUAAAGCACUUUUGUCCGGAAAGAAAUCCUUGGCUCUAAUACAGUCGGGGGAUGACGGUACCGGAAGAAUAAGCACCGGCUAACUACGUGCCAGCAGCCGCGGUAAUACGUAGGGUGCAAGCGUUAAUCGGAAUUACUGGGCGUAAAGCGUGCGCAGGCGGUUUGCUAAGACCGAUGUGAAAUCCCCGGGCUCAAACCUGGGAACUGCAUUGGUGACUGGCAGGCUAGAGUAUGGCAGAGGGGGGUAGAAUUCCACGUGUAGCAGUGAAAUGCGUAGAGAUGUGGAGGAAUACCGAUGGCGAAGGCAGCCCCCUGGGCCAAUACUGACGCUCAUGCACGAAAGCGUGGGGAGCAAAACAGGAUUAGAUACCCUGGUAGUCCACGCCCUAAAACGAUGUCAACUAGUUGUUGGGGAUUCAUUUCCUUAGUAACGUAGCUAACGCGUGAAGUUGACCGCCUGGGGGAGUACGGUCGCAAGAUUAAAACUCAAAUGAAUUGACGGGGUCAUAGCUGUUUCCU